rnacentral:rRNA from 1 species
AUACGUAGGGUGCGAGCGUUGUCCGGAAUUACUGGGCGUAAAGAGCUCGUAGGUGGUUUGUCGCGUCGUCUGUGAAAUUCCGGGGCUUAACUCCGGGCGUGCAGGCGAUACGGGCAUAACUUGAGUACUGUAGGGGAGACUGGAAUUCCUGGUGUAGCGGUGAAAUGAGCAGAUAUCAGGAGGAACACCGGUGGCGAAGGCGGGUCUCUGGGCAGUAACUGACGCUGAGGAGCGAAAGCAUGGGUAGCGAACAGGGUUAGAUACCCUGGUAGUCCAUGCCGUAAACGGUGGGCGCUAGGUGUAGGGGUCUUCCACGACUUCUGUGCCGUAGCUAACGCAUUAAGCGCCCCGCCUGGGGAGUACGGCCGCAAGGCUAAAACUCAAAGGAAUUGACGGGG